AUUGAACGCUGGCGGCAGGCCUAACACAUGCAAGUCGAGCGGAUCGCCGGACGGGUGCGUAAUGCCUAGGAAUCUGCCUGUUAGUGGGGGAUAACGUUCGGUAACGGGCGCUAAUACUGCAUCCUAUCAGCUGAGCCUAGGUCGGAUUAGCUAGUGGGUGGGGUAAGGGCCUACCAAGGCGACGAUCCGUAACUGGUCUGAGAGGAUGAUCAGUCACACUGGGACUGAGACACGGCCCAGACUCCUACGGGAGGCAGCAGUGGGGAAUAUUCGGCAAUGGACGAAAGUCUGACCCAGCAACGCCGCGUGAGUGAAGAAGGCUUUCGGAUCGUAAAGCACUGUUGUUAGGGAAGCGGUAUCUAAAGAGGAAGCAACGGCUAACUUCGUGCCAGCAGCCGCGGUAAUAC
rnacentral:rRNA from 1 species